GUGAGUCGUUGUAGCAAUACAAGGCAUACGGCUCAGUAACACGUAGUCAAUCUAACCUAUGGACGGGGAUAACCUCGGGAAACUGAGGAUAAAACCCGAUAGAUCAUAAUGCCUGGAACGGUUUAUGGUUCAAAUGAUUCGUCGCCGUAGGGUGGGACUGCGGCCUAUCAGCUUGUUGGUGAGGUAAUGGCCCACCAAGGCUAUUACAGGUACGGGCUCUGAGAGGAGUAGCCCGGAGAUGGGUACUGAGACACGGACCCAGGCCCUAUGGGGCGCAGCAGGCGAGAAACCUUUGCAAUGUGCGCAAGCACGACAAGGUUAAUCCGAGUGUUUCCUGUUAAAGGAAUCUUUUGUUAGUCGUAAAAUCACUAUUGAAUAAGGGGUGGGCAAGUUCUGGUGUCAGCCGCCGCGGUAAAACCAGCACCUCAAGUGGUCAGGAUGAUUAUUGGGCCUAAAGCAUCCGUAGCCUGUUCUGUAAGUUUCCGGUUAAAUCCAUUAGCUCAACUAAUGGGCCGCCGAAAAUACUGCAAAACUAGGGAGUGGGAGAGGUAGACGGUACUCGGUAGGAAGGGGUAAAAUCCUUUGAUCUAUUGAUGACCACCUGUGGCGAAGGCGGUCUACCAGAACACGUUCGACGGUGAGGGAUGAAAGCUGGGGGAGCAAACCGGAUUAGAUACCCGGGUAGUCCCAGCUGUAAACGAUGCAAACUCGGUGAUGCGCUGGCUUGUGGCCAGUGCAGUGCCGC
rnacentral:rRNA from 1 species